UUUGGCAUUCGGUAUUCCAUCGUUUUUUUAUUAUUAGCACUAAAAAAAAAAUAUUGGCAUAUAUGCAUAAAAAUCCCAAACAUUUGAAUAGUCGCUCCCAUGAAUAUGAAUAUUUUAAUCAUCCACCUAACUCUUGCUUAUCCAAUCUUACCAUUACAAGAUACAAUAACAAUAUUUUAGAAAAAGUCGAUGCGGGUUCGUGUCUCAUUCUGACAAUGUUCUAGCUGCCCUCGCUCCGAUUUGGCUUGAAUGAAACAAAGGCCUGAUCGUUGACGGGGCUGGGAGUCCAAUCGUUUGUAGCAGGGUUGCUUCUGCAACCUGACACCAGAGAGCCAGUACCAUGGACUGUUGGCAAUUCAAUGUUGUACCCAUUUGUAUUUUCUUCACCCACGACCCUUAUGAAUCCACUCCCCGUCAUAUGAUGCUGCUUGUCAAUUGAAUCUAACUCCUUAUAAUAGUGGGUCUCCACAAACUCAUCUUGCUCCACAACGGCCCCCUCUCCAGAAAAAAUGACAGAGGAUUGAGAUUGGAGAGAUCGAAGCCUGUCAAGCUCAGGAAUACUGAUUUGGUCUGCGUCAGAGGGAGCUGAUUUUGGAGUUGUUGUGUCCGAUUCACUUCUGUUUGGUUUAGCAGGUCGUUUGGGGGCAAUAGAAUCGAAUUGAGCUCUGAUUUGGUUGGCUAUUUGGAGCUGUCGAUUUGCAUCCAAAACCUCGUCGCUCCGGCUUGGCUUAGUCACGGUCAACUGCCCCACCAUGUUGGCUCUUGCCUGUAAAGUUUCUAUCUUGGUGAUCUCCACUACGUCUUCCCCUCACUGCGAUGGGAUGCCAAGAAUUGUUGCCAUCCGUCUUAUAUAGUGGACUGGUUUGGAAAACCAGGGGCCAUGUCAAAAACCGCUUGCCGAGUAUUUUUCUUGGGUAGGUUUCAAGGCUGAAGGUGGGCUUGAACUAGUAAAUAUUGGGGUUGGAGUUAUUAGCUUCUGAGGCCGAUGACGUCUUUGGAAAAAAC
rnacentral:misc_RNA from 1 species